AAAAGUCGAUAACUGAAUUUCAUUCAUACCAUUUCCUGUUUCCUUCUUCAGACUUCAGAAGGUUCCCCCCCACCCCUUAGGAAUACAGAUUCUCCUUGGACAAAUUCUAAUGAAAACUCCCUGCUGGGAGAUUACUAAACUUUGGUUUAUGAAGUGGCAUCAGGAAACGCCUGAGUUUCCAUGGUCUGGUAGAUAGAGUGCAGUGAAAUAUUUAUUAACGGACACAACCUGUCCUGUCUUGACCCUGAGACACUGCAGCCUCUGUCUGAUCAGGCUCAUGGGUUUCUGCCUAGCCUCUGCCAGGGACAGAAAUAAUUCUGGUGAGGAAGGAGGUGGCAUUUCAUGGAGCUUCCAUUUACCAACCUGGAAAUGGCAUUCAUUUUACUGGCUUUUGUGAUCUUUUCCUUCUUUACUCUGGCCUCCAUCUACACUAACCCAGAUGACAGGAAUGAAGAGGAAGAAUACCAAGUAAAGGAAAAGAAAAAGAAAAGGAAAAAGUCUGGGAAGAAGAGAAAUGUCUCAGAGGAAGAGCACAAAGUGGAAGCUGUUUAGUUCCGAGAUACUGCAGGGGGCGAUCCAGACAUAGCCGUUUCCUACUGAGGAUGUGGAGCAGCGUCCACAGAGCCAUUGAGCCUCCGCAAGCCAGGCAGGGGUGAUCAGACAAUUAAAAGAUGUACUUAACUGUCAGCCGUAACCGUCAUGACCCUUAAUGAACUGAAUACUGGGGAAAAGGGUUUUGUAACAUUUCUGUGACUCAUCUUUAUUAAAAAUAUUUUUAUACU